rnacentral:rRNA from 1 species
AUUGAACGCUGGCGGCAGGCCUAACACAUGCAAGUCGAACGAGUGGCGGACGGGUGAGUUAUGUCUGGGAACCUGCCUGAUGGAGGGGGAUAACUACUGGAAACGGUAGCUAAUCCCGCAUACCAUCGGAUGUGCCCCGCUGGGCUUAGCUAGUAGGUGGGGUAAAGGGGCACCUAGGCGACGAUGCCUAGCUGGUCUGAGAGGAUGACCAGCCGAACGGGAACUGUGGCACGGUCCAGACUCCUACGGGAGGCAGCGGUGGGGAAGAGUGCACUAUGGGCGCAAGCCUGAUGCAGCCAUGCCGCGUGUACGAAGAGGGCCUGCGGGUUGUAAAGUACUUUCAGCGGGGAGGCGUUACCCGCAGAAGAAGCACCGGCUAACUCCGUGCCAGCAGCCGCGGUAAUAC